GACGAACGCUGGCGGCGUGCUUAACACAUGCAAGUCGACGAGCGGCGAACGGGUGAGCAACGCGUGAGUAACCUGCCCCCUCUCUGGGAUAACAGUUGGAAACGGCUGCUAAUACCGGAUAAAGGGGGAUGGGCUCGCGGCCUAUCAGCUUGUUGGAGGGGUGAUGGCCUACCAAGGCGGUGACGGGUAGCCGGCCUGAGAAGGUGACCGGCCACAUUGGGACUGAGAUACGGCCCAGACUACUACGCGGGGCAGCAGUGGGGGAUAUUGGACAAUGGGCGAAAGCCUGAUGCAGCGACGGUGCGUGGGGGAUGAAGGCUUUCGGGUUGUAAACCUCUUUCGCUAGCGAACGGGUAGGUGGAGAAGAAGCGCCGGCUAACUACGUGCCAGCAGCCGCGGUAAUUC
rnacentral:rRNA from 1 species